rnacentral:rRNA from 1 species
UACGUAGGGACCAAGCGUUGUUCGGAUUUACUGGGCGUAAAGGGCGCGUAGGCGGCAAAUUAAGUCAUCUGUGAAAUCUCCGAGCUUAACUCGGAACGGUCAGGUGAUACUGAUCUGCUAGAGUGCGGAAGGGGCAAUCGGAAUUCUUGGUGUAGCGGUGAAAUGCGUAGAUAUCGGGAAGAACACCGGUGGCGAAGGCGGCUCGCUGGGCCAUUGCUGACGCUGAGGCGCGAAAGCGUGGAGAGCAAACAGG